GACGAACGCUGGCGGCGUGCCUAACACAUGCAAGUCGAACGGAAAGGCGCUGCGGUGUCCUCGAGUGGCUAACGGGCGAAUAAGAGGUUGAUGCUUAGCCCUGCACUUUGGGAUCAGCGGGGGAAACUGGGUAUAAUACCGAAUAAGACCAUGCCCAUCAUCGUCAGUUGUGGAAAGUUUUUGAGGUGCGGGUUGGACACGCGGCCUAGCACCUUGUUGGUGUGGUAAUGGCCGACCACGGCGACGGCGGCUAGCCGGCCUGAGACGGUGACCGGGCACACAGGGACAGAGGUACGGCCAGUAGUGCAACGGGGGGCAGCAGUGGGAAAUAUAGCGCAAUGGGCGCAAGGCGGGUGCAGCGACGCCGCAUGAUAAAUGACGGCCGUCGGGUUGUAAACCGCUUUCGAGAGGGACGAAGAGACAGUGACGGUACCUAUAGAAGAAGCACCGGCCAACUACGUG
rnacentral:rRNA from 1 species